GGAACUUAGGUUAAUAAUUUUGAACCAAGGGCCUUCAAAGUCUUAGAUAUGCGAGCUARCRUCUCAUAGUUCCUGAAGACCU
rnacentral:tRNA from 1 species